rnacentral:pre_miRNA from 1 species
AGCCUUCUGUAUCCGUACUUAGAUUUCAUCAAAGAUCAAUCCGCUGGGGCUGAUGGUACUUCCAAAAUAAGUGAAGCG